AUUGAACGCUGGCGGCAGGCCUAACACAUGCAAGUCGAGCGGAUGAAGGGAGCUUGCUCCUGGAUUCAGCGGCGGACGGGUGAGUAAUGCCUAGGAAUAUGCCUGGCUGUGGGGGAUAACGUCCGGAAACGGGCGCUACUACCGCAUACGACCUGAGGGAGAAAGAGGGGGAUCUUCGGACCUCACGCUAUCAGAUGAGCCUAGGUCGGACUAGCUAGUUGGUGGGGUAAAGGCCUACCAAGGCGACGAUCCGUAACUGGUCGGAGAGGAUGAUCAGUCACACGGGAACUGAGACACGGUCCAGACUCCUACGGGAGGCAGCAGUGGGGAAUAUUGGACAAUGGGGGAAAGCCUGAUCCAGCCAUGCCGAGUGUGUGAAGAAGGUCUUCGGAUUGGAAAGCACUUUUAGGUGUGAUGAAGGGCAGUAAGUUAAUACCUUGCUGUUUUGACGGUACCAACAGAAGAAGCACCGGCUAACUACGUG
rnacentral:rRNA from 1 species